rnacentral:rRNA from 1 species
UACGUAGGGGUGCAAGCGUUGUCCGGAUUCAUUGGGCGUAAAGCGCGCGUAGGCGGGCGCCGCAAGUCGGCCGUGAAAUCUCCAGGCUUAACCUGGAGGGGUCGGGCGAGACUGCGGUGCUCGAGGUGGGCAGAGGGCGGUGGAAUUCCGGGUGUAGUGGUGGAAUGCGUAGAGCUCCGGAGGAACACCAGUGGCGAAGGCG